CGCUGAUCACGACCCCGAAACUGUGUCUGAGCCUGAGGCUGAUCCUGGACAUGACAGCGAGACUGACGAUGAUCUGAGGGGCCCGGCUGAGGUACCACCACCACCACCACCACAUCAGGAUGGUGCGGACAUCCACUAUGUGAAUGAUUUUUUUGUUCGAGAUACGGAGUUGGGA